UACGUAGGGGGCAAGCGUUGUCCGGAAUCAUUGGGCGUAAAGCGCGUGUAGGCGGCUCGAUAAGUCUGCUGUGAAAGUCCAGGGCUCAACCCUGGAAUGCCGGUGGAAACUGUCGAGCUAGAGUCCGGAAGAGGCGAGUGGAAUUCCUGGUGUAGCGGUGAAAUGCGCAGAUAUCAGGAGGAACACCAAUGGCGAAGGCAGCUCGCUGGGACGGUACUGACGCUGAGACGCGGAAGCGUGGGGAGCAAACAGG
rnacentral:rRNA from 1 species